GAAAACAACUGUGUGCCAUCCAUGUCUCGUGCAACACCCAAGGAGCUCUGGAUUUGGAAGGGGGAAUCCCACUGAAGCUGGUAUUUCCUUGAACUGUGUUUGACUUCAAUCUCCUGGCUCUGGGGUUGUGUAGAAGACUCUGUUCCUAUGAGUAGAGGCAAGACUUUCAUAUUGGACUGAAACAUAAGGAUGGAGACAGAGAUUGACUGGAAGAAUAAGAUUUGGGGACAAAAAUGCCAGGCCUGUCCUUGUCCUGUUAGUUGCUAAAACCAUAUUUGGAGUCAAUGAAGUGAAAUUACUCAGGACAGUGUUGGGUACCACUAGUCAGCAUGUUUAAGCCUGGCAAGCUGCUCUUUCCAGGCGUGAUGGACUUGGUGAUCACUUCUGUGAGAGUUUUGGGAGCACAGCCUGAUAGGACUGGAGACCCCACCAGGCUGCUCAGCACCUUCUCACACUGAACCACCCCAGAACUCAUGGUGCUG